GCCGCGGGCUGCGGGGCAGGCGCGCGUGCUGCCGCUGACCCCUACUGAGGCCUGGGCGGCAUUCAAGCCCUCGCCCUGGAGGCGAGGAAGAGGAGGAAGGCGGAGCUGGAGGAGGAGUAUGUGCAUCCAUUUUUCCUUCCCUCUCUUCCAUAAGACCUUGUGUUUGACUAUGCACAAGCAAUUUAAGCAUACACAGAGAGCUCGGACGCCCAGUGUCGAAGAAAGCGCCCAGCGCCACACCACCCACACCUGCGCCAGCGCUGAGGGGGGGAGAGGAGUUGCCAAGUCCUGUGAUGGGAGUUAAGUUAAGAGGUGAUGACCAAUCUCAUCCGGUGUGCUUCUUGGACAUUUA